CUCAGCUCCCCGCGUUCCGGUUCGUGAGGCUGCGAGGUCCGUCUGCGGACCUGGUAGGAGGAUGGUGACGGUCGGUGCCGGGUCGGUGCCGGGAGAGGUGACAGGUGACGCUGGCAGUCCUCCGGGAGAGGUGUCUUUCCCUUUGCUCCACCCCUGCCUUCUGGCUCCGGCAACCCCUUCUCCCUUAGCCUCCACCUGCCCACCUGGACGCCCUGGGCUUUGCCUGGGGCCUGUUUCCUGCUCGUCUCUCAGGCCCUGGGUAGAGCCAAAUGUCUGACCCAAAUGACACAUGUGCUCUGACCACUCUGUCCAGCCGGAGACAUUCAGAUUCCACACGUCCCCUGGAACCUGCUCUCUGCUGCCUCCCCCAGCACAGGUGAUGGCGACCACGGGUCCAGCUGCUCAGGUCGCCUGUGUCCCACUCCCACAUCCAUCCCCCUUCUCGGCCCCACCUUCCAGACCAUGCCCGAUCUCACUGUUCCCUCGACGACCUCCUGGGUGAGCACUGUCCAUGCUCCCUGGUCCUGAGGGGCUAGGCCAGACCAUGCCUUCUACUUGGGAGACUGCCAGGGUGCCCGCCUCACCCGGAGGACAAGCCCAGCCUCCUCACCCACUCCGCUGCAGUCAGCCUGGCUUCCUUGCUGCUUCUGUGACACCCCAAGAGGACUCCCUGUCAUGGAAUGAAUGUUUGUGUCCCCAAAACCCAUCUGUUGAAGUCAAAUCUCCAAUGUGAUGGUAUUCGGAGGUAGGGCCCUUCAGUCCAUGAGGUCAAGAGCCAUCAGGAGUGGGAUCAGUGUCCUUAUAAGAGACCAGAGAACGAGCCGGCUCUACCAUGUGACGACGCGCGAAGACAGCCAUCUGCAUCCAGGAAGAGGGGCCUCGCCAGACACUGGAUUGACUGGCACCUCAACCUUGGAUUUCCAGCCUCUAGAACUGCAAGAAAUAAAUCCUCGUUGUCAAUAAAA